UACGUAGGCAGCGAGCGUUGUUCGGAGUUACUGGGCGUAAAGGGUGUGUAGGCGGUUCUCUAAGUUUGGUGUGAAAUCUCCCGGCUCAACCGGGAGGGUGCGCCGAAAACUGGAGGGCUAGAGUGCGGGAAGGGAGAGUAGAAUUCCUGGUGUAGCGGUGAAAUGCGUAGAUAUCAGGAGGAAUACCGGUGGCGAAGGCGGUUAGCUGGGCAGUUGCUGACACUGAGGCGCGACAGCGUGGGGAGCAAACAGG
rnacentral:rRNA from 1 species